CCCUUAGAUGUUCUGGGCCGCACGCGCGCUACACUGACUGGUGCAACAAGUGUCGCUCCUUGGCCGAUAGGCCUGGGCAAUCUUUGAACGCCAGUCGUGAUGGGGAUAGAUUCUUGCAAUUUUUGAUCUUCAACGAGGAAUUCCUAGUAAACGCGAGUCAUCAACUCGCAUUGAUUACGUCCCUGCCCUUUGUACACACCGCCCGUCGCACCUACCGAUUGAAUGGUCCGGUGAACCCUCCGGAUCGGCUCGCGCCAACGCAAGUUGAGCAAAGGCCGAGAAGUUGGGUAAACCUUACCAUUUAGAGGAAGGAGAAGUCGUAACA
rnacentral:rRNA from 1 species